AUAAACCGCCCCACCUCUCCCUGAGCCCUCGCUCCCAAUCUUGUCUCUCUCGUCUCUCCUGCCAAAUACCGUCGCCGCCAGAGAGAGGAAGGAGCGCAACAGACGCACCGAGGAGCGGGGGGUCGCCUCGCUCGCUUCUGUUGACCACCGCCACCUCCACCGCCGUCGACGCCGCGGCGGACGCGGUGGAGGUGGAGUACGUGCCGGAGAUGCCCGACCUCGGCGCCGACGACCCCCUCCCCCACGGCGCCUUUGUGGCGGCCCCCGCCCCCAGGCGAGCUCCAGUUCCUCCGCCCCAUAAUCUGCUCGAGCCGCGCGCCUAACGCCAUGGCGGCGAGAGCAUGGGCGGUCGCGGUGGUGAGGACUAACUCGAAGAGGAGGAGUCCGCCACUAUGAGGACCUUGUUCAACAACACUACUCGGGCCUCCGGCAAUGGCAGGUUGGGGAUAUCUGAGAUGUGUCCUCUCCGCCUCCAGUAAAGAUUUUGUGUGAUUGUUUGGUUUGCAAUAUAUUAGGCAGUGUUAUUUCUUCAUGUUAUUAGCUGCCCAUUUGAGACGUGAGGAAAAGAACAGCGGCGAUGGACAACCCUACACAACGCCACUCGUUGUCAUCUUGUCGGUCAAGUAGGUGCAUCGGAGGCUGCUCCACGCCUCCACCAUGGAAUCAAAUGGGAAUUCUACUAUACAGGAUUAUAACAAGGGGAAAGGAUAAGGAAGAAGGGGACUCUAUGAAUAAAGAACAAGAAGGUGUCCCUGAAAAAUAAGCAGCUGGAGAACAACAAGCUUAUUGUUGGCUUUCUACAGAAAAUGUCGUAACACCUGAGAAAAUUGCUGUACUUUACACAUGGGCACAUGGGUUCCAUUAUCAGAAUAGGAGAGCCUAGCAGUACAAAAUCAAGGCUCUGUACUAUAUCGUUGGCCAAAGAUGAGUUUGUCAAUAAUUCGGCAAUGUGGUGUCGAAGUCUUCGCCCAUGAGGUUACACCUUCAAGGGUGACAUUGAAGAAGCAUUCAGAUGCACAGAUAUAAGAGAAGAUCAACUUGCACGCACAAGUUGUGUUGUAGACAAUGGGGCCAUGCGGUUGAAUGUGUCUGGUCAAGUUGAGCAAGAAGCAUGAUAUCAUUAACGAGAUGUUCACAAAAUUUCUUCAAAGUUUAUUUGAUGGUGUGGCAUAUUUUUUCUGGUUAAGUUUUCUGUAUAUUUCUAUAUUUAUUUGUACAAACUGGAAGCUAUAGAUGAACUUCAUAUACUCUGCCAACUUCGUUCAAUAAGAUCAAAGUAUGCAGUAUGUUUUUGAAUAGUAUAUGUUCCAUAUGGUU